GUGUACGUGGUGUAGCGGUUAGCGCUGUUGUUUUUGAAAUUUUCAUUGCGGGUUCAAACUCCGCUGGGGUCA